GAUGAACGCUGGCGGCGUGCUUAACACAUGCAAGUCGAACGGAAAGGCCCAAGCUUGCUUGGUACUCGAGUGGUGAACGGGUGAGUAACACGUGGGUGAUCUGCCCUGCACUUCGGGAUAAGCCUGGGAAGCUGGGUCUAAUACCGGAUAGGACGAUGGUUUGGAUGCCAUUGUGGAAAGUUUUUUCGGUGUGGGAUGAGCUCGCGGCCUAUCAGCUUGUUGGUGGGGUAAUGGCCUACCAAGGCGUCGACGGGUAGCCGGCCUGAGAGGGUGUACGGCCACAUUGGGACUGAGAUACGGCCCAGACUCCUACGGGAGGCAGCAGUGGGGAAUAUUGCACAAUGGGCGCAAGCCUGAUGCAGCGACGCCGCGUGGGGGAUGACGGCCUUCGGGUUGUAAACUCCUUUCGCUAGGGACGAAGCGUUUUUGUGACGGUACCUGGAGAAGAAGCACCGGCUAACUACGUG
rnacentral:rRNA from 1 species